UGUAAUAUAACUCUUACUGGCAGUAGUUUAGAAAAAAAUAACAUUUCAAGCUCCUGUGGUUUAUAAGUGUGCUCAGAACAUCUUCUUUCAACAUCUCUUUUGGUCAACUCUCAACUUGUUGUUACAUGUGGCAGUGGAUAUUUGCACAACAGGCCAGUUCGGUUUCUAUACUUACCUUUGUACAAGGAGUUUUAUCUACUGUUUACAUAACUCCAGUAAUCAAAUAUUGUCUCUGUCUGGUUCUCGGGCUGCAUUGGAUGUGUUUUUUUAGACGGAAAACUAUUGUUCAUCUUUUGAUGAAAUCGGUCUGCAGCUCGUAAGUGCAGCAGCGCACAGCGGUUCAGUUGACUUCCUUCUUUCACCUGUGUUUAUCACCUCAUGGAGCACAGGUGAAUAAUGUUCAAAAAUUUGAACUUAAGCACAAACAAUGUCAAAUGAUUUUUAAAAUCACGUUGUAAGGAUGGCAAAGCUAACUGUCGUGGUGUAAUGGUGUAGUAACGGUGCAUAUUGUUUCUCACUAAACUUGAAAACAAAAUUUCAAGUUUUAUAAAAAUGUACGAAUUUGGUAUACUCUGUCAUACUUGCAAUAUGUUGAUGGAGACUGUAGCUUCUGCUCUCGAAACUGAGUGUUCUGUUCAUUGUUCUCCUUUUAAAUCCAAAGUGUAUAGGGUGAUCAGGACAGGAGUCGAGAAGGGUGUCGAGACCGUCUGUUGAUGGGUGCCCAUGCUGCUUAUAAUUGCGACACGCAGACCUCACAAUCUGUGGUCUGCCAGUCGGUUCGGUCAGGUUGUGCAAAAUCCUGGAUGCGACAGAUGUGUGUAGCUGCAUUAACCGAAGCUUUUCCCCAAUCGGACCAGACUGCAUGAUGUCCAGCGCAGCGAAGAAAUCGGAAAGAGGAUCCCUUUCCUCGCUCCUCAUUGACCUUCUUGCCUCCGAAACGACGUUUGCGCCCCGAUCGACUGACGCCUGUCCCGGACCGCCGAUUUCGUCCGCCUCUGUGGGUCUUUUGGAUCCAGGAUGACCUCGCCUAUGCUUGGGUCCAAACCACCUACCUUCUGCUUCCCAUCCCCGUUUGUGACAAUAACAGAGGGUGACAGACGUAAAAUGGGCUUUCGAGGGCGACGUGUGUUGGGGAACGAGCACAAAUUCGGUUGCAGCUGUAGCUGGAGACGUAAAUGCAGGUGAAGAACAGGAUCCAGUUCUGUCGCGCAGGUAGUGCCGAAGAGAAGGUUCGUUUAUCAGCACGAGGAGGUCAUUUUUAUAGUCGGUUUCGUGUGACCGAAACAUGUGGCUUUUCAGUGUUAUUUACAAAUGGUAUGUGUUUACAGGGCUUCGUGGGACAUGAGCACAUCAGGGGAGGGCUAAGGCUGACAGCUGACCACUUCCCACGAGCAAGGAAUGCAGAAGUGCUCUUUUUCACAGAUAAUGUACGAGAGGGGUCCUGGUGCCGAUUUAUACCUCUUCUGGAAUUUUCCGGGUUCAGGGCUAAUGCCCUGAGCGCCCUGCUAUGAGCUAGUUACGCACAGUCGAGGCGGUUGUCUUCCACGUCGUGUACAUCAGACCCUCUUCUUCGAAGGGGGUUACCUGGAUUGUCAAAGUCAACUUUACAGUCAUUCUGCCUACAGCUGAGUUACGCAUCCAGGAGAACGGAAGUCCGUUUCUCUUUGGACCUCCGUGCCCCACGCAACAUACGGUGCAGGGUGUAAGAAAAUAAAUACAAACAGAUGAGCGCGAAUACAAGAGAGAAACUUUUGCAGUGCACUGGCCAGAGUCGGGUGACAAUAUUCACGAUAUGUAAUGUAAAUUUUUUUUAAAGCAUUGUGUAAAUAUAAGUACAAAAAGGGCUAUGUAGGAACAUGUGAUUUACACAGUAAACUAGAAACAAACUUUUAGAGGCUAAAGCUAAGACACGAGUUAUAGGAGCAGCAAAAAUUAAAUGCUUGAAGUGACGUGCAUUGUCAAGCAAAUAGACCAUUGUUUUUCUUUUGCAGGUGACGAGGAAGAAAAAACAGCUAACUGUCAGGAGAUGGGUAUGUGGAUGGGCGGGGGGGUUCCUGCUGUUGAGGAUUCUCACUGUUGAGGAUUCUCACAGUGUGAGAGAAUGUGUUACGCAGUCUUUCGAAAAAUGAGUCCGCAAAUGUUGGAGGAAAGAUGCGGCAGCACCCGUAGAGCGCUGGCAGCUGGACAGAGGUGUCAGUUUGCACCUGGCAUGUUGCUGGAAGGCUACUGUGCACAUGUCUCAAGUAUCUCCCUGGGUAGCUCAGGCGGUAGUGCAUGAGACUCUUAAUUUCAGGGUCAUGAGUUCAAGCUUCAUGUGGGGUGGCCGUAUGUUUUAAAGGGGCUGUUCUGUCAAAACCAAGAGAUGUUAACAACUUUAACCUCCUUAGGCUCAGUAAAUUAAGUAAUGCAUUUUUUUUUUUUUUUACUGGUGAAACCAUUGGUUUUAUGAAAGCAACUCCAAGGAGAAAUAGAAAGAAGCUAGGGAGCCCUAAGGCUGGCCUUGUUGGUCUAGGGGUAUGACUCUUGCUUUGGGUGUAAGAGGUCCUGGGUUCAAAUCCCAGGUGAGCCCUCCAGUGUGUAUGUGCUUCCUUUACCCUCUCUCUGCCAGUAAAUCACAGGUUCCUCAGCUGUGGGGUGAAGAGUGUCUCAGGAAGCCUGUUUCAACUAUUACUGCCCGUGGGGGGGGGGGUGAAAACAGUUCACUUUUGAGAGUGGUAAAAGGUUAAGAACCAACCCACUGCUAACUGCCUACUUGUCUUUAUCUCUGUCUGUUUCCAGGGCUGCUGAAGGACACACAUUCAAUCAUUAGCUUGAACUGCCUAACUCAUUCUCCAAUCUCCAUACUGUUUUGUCAUGGGAGGGGGAGAUAUGCCUGCUGCAGGGCACCCCAGGUGGGACUUGAACCCUAGACCCACUGCACUGGAGAACGUGGUCAAGCCCAUUGAGCCACUGCAACCCCCCACCCACCCUCAGUGAUGCCUUGUGAGUAUUAAGAACCCCUUUACUGUACGCAGGUGAAUUUCUACAGCAGCCGCCACAAGGGGGCGCGAGUAACGGACGAAGAGACGCCGAAAGUGACGUAAGACGCACGUACGUCCUUCUCAGUAUAUAGAGGCGGCACGCGUGAACUUGGCCUUUCUGUCUAUGCGGCUGUCGUACAAGAAGCUUGUUGAAAAUACAGCUGAGAUAUUUGCAACAACACCAGGAUCGCAACUGACAUAUUGUGCCCCUAUAAGUGCCCGGGAUGUUAGUUUUAAAUUAGGUUUUUCUCUAUUUUGUUUUCACAAGACUCUGUGCGUGUGCUUAACUGCAAGGCCCCCUGGCAGCUGGGGUCACAUCAUCAGUGCCUCUCCAUCAAGCACUGAGAAAAUUAGUUAUUCCAAACUUUAUUUGCACCUACAUGUGCAACCCUUCACUCUUGUUCGGGAGAGCAAAGUUCUUUCACAGCGACACAUACAGAGAAGCACCUGGAUGCAUAGUGAAUGCCUUCCUUCGGAUCUACAGGUUGAAGGUUCAAAUCCCAGCUACUGCAGUAAGGUCCUUGAGUUGGAUCAUUUCCCUGAAUCACUGCUAAUUCGGGGCAGCAGGUUACAGGCUUGAACCCCAUCUACCGCUGUAGUACUCUUGAACAAGGUACACACAGUUUGAAACUGCUUGUCCCAUACGGG